rnacentral:rRNA from 1 species
CAGCCGCCGCGGUAAUACGUAGGGUGCAAGCGUUAAUCGGAAUUACUGGGCGUAAAGCGUGCGCAGGCGGUUUCGUAAGACAGAUGUGAAAUCCCCGGGCUUAACCUGGGAACUGCAUUUGUGACUGCGAGGCUAGAGUGUGUCAGAGGGGGGUGGAAUUCCACGUGUAGCAGUGAAAUGCGUAGAUAUGUGGAGGAACACCGAUGGCGAAGGCAGCCCCCUGGGAUAACACUGACGCUCAUGCACGAAAGCGUGGGGAGCAAACAGGAUUAGAUACCCCCGUAGUCCCUGUCUCUUAUAC